AAGCUAUAAUGUGGGCACUUCCUCAAUAGGUCAUUGAAUCUCUCCCAAGCCUUAUACAAACUUUCUUGAUCAUGAUGGGCAAAAGUCAUUAUCUCAUUGCGAAGCUU
rnacentral:snoRNA from 1 species